GAUGAACGCUGGCUACAGGCUUAACACACGCAAGUCGAGGGGCAGCAUGGUCUUAGCUUGCUAAGGCCGAUGGCGACCGGCGCACGGGUGAGUAACACGUAUCCAACCUGCCGUCUACUCUUGGACAGCCUUCUGAAAGGAAGAUUAAUACAAGAUGGCAUCAUGAGUUCACAUGUUCACAUGAUUAAAGGUAUUCCGGUGAUCGAUGGGGAUGCGUUCCAUUAGGCAGUUGGCGGGGUAACGCCCACCAAAUCUACGAUGGAUAGGGGUUCUGAGAGGAAGGUCCCCCACAUUGGAACUGAGACACGGUCCAA
rnacentral:rRNA from 1 species